GAAUUCGCCGCGACUAUCGUGUUUAGUGGUGGAUGUUCUCCCUUCACAAAAAUUAAAGAAUACUUACUGAUUAUGUUUUUCAGGGAUUUGUUCGAGAGCUUGAAACUAUAUGGUGUGGCUUUAACAACUUGCAAUAGUUAUGAGGGAAAUGAGGACCUGAGAAGUCCUCAUGAGAAGUCAACAUUGACGUUAGAAUCAACGCCGUCUGCUUCCCGAUAUUUUUUAUAUUUAAAAAAUUGUGGUAUUGUGGACACUAUGUGGAAGGGUCACACUAACAGAAACUUCCAGAAGUAGGAUCUGGUUGUAUGUAUAACGGUGAAGGAGGUGGUGGUGAUAAGAACUCAUAGGGAGCAUGGGUAUAUUACUUUUAUUGGAUUUGAUGUACUUUGUACGAGUACUGUAAGUACACAAUCAUCGCUAUGGAGAGGGUUAGAGAAGGCGCUACAGGAGAGUAGUGGGGGACCAGAACCAGGAGACGGAAGUCUCUGCUGGACUUGGUCUUCCCACUAUCCAGCAACCUCCGUCUGGCUUAGAACUAAGUACAUAUUUUUAAACAAAAUAAAAAUUCAAUAAUAAUUACACGAAAUAAAAAAAAAAAAGACACGUA